rnacentral:sRNA from 1 species
CCCAUAACGCCGCGUUUUCCUGAAUGGCAGGGUUUACAUUAACCGUCUCAAUUGCGUUUACGGGGAAUUUUAUAUCAAUUUGACUGAAGCUAUUGACUCCCUGUCCUUUCUAGUUUUGCUCCAGUUUACCCGAAAACGCUUCAUUCAGCUCAUACAGGCCUUGAUGCGCUCGCUGACGCCUCUUCUCCCCAUGUUCGCAUCAUACCAAGACUUCUCAUUGUGCUUUCCCCAACAAUAAUAGAACCAAAUUAACGUCAAUCCCCUCGCGCCAAAUGCAACUAGCACUUGGUGGCGUCUGACACCUCUUGACCUUCUGCACGUAUCACCAGGGUACAUCAUCCUACGUUCUAGAGUCAGCACACCAAGUGCAUGGAUUUCCAGGGAAGCUCCUGUUCCAGAAAAGUUUGUUUCCCAGGAUAUUGGAUAAUACCGCUCCGUGCAGCAGAAUGGACGGAGCCCAGGAAGA